GGAGGCAGAGGGAGCGGGCGCGGGAAGACAGUGUGGCUGGGCGGCCUGUUCCGGAACUCGCUUUCUUGGGUCCCGCAUCCCGCACAAGCGUCCCGAGGGUCCGGGCGCAGGGGGACUGCGGAUACCGGGCGGUGUGCCCGGGUCCAGCUCCUGCCCAGCCAGGAUGGGCUCGGUCACCUGAAAUUGGUGGAGUUUGCAUCCUUUUUGUUUUGAGGGUCUACUGGGUAUAAGCUUUGGCUGGCCUGCAAAGGACCCUGUGCAGAGCUUCAUAAGGCAGAGGAUGGGGAAAUGAGGGUUUGGAGAUGCCCGAAGUAUGCACUUAACCCGCGUGACAAGUUGGAGCAGUUACUUAGAGCAUAGUAGAAGAUAUAUAUCAAAAAGUUCAAGAUUGAAACACCCAAGAAUGCAGCAUUUACUCUUCAUAGGUGGAGGUGAGAGAUCUGGUUUGAAAACUUCGGAGGAAUGUAUCAUUUCAGUCCUGAAUCUGAAUCAGCUCCCUUACUGGCUUAUUACUGUUUUAAAGUGUUUUUAGGCCGGGUGUGGUGGCACACGCCUUUAAUCCCAGCACUCGGGAGGCAGAGGCAGGGGGAUCUCUGUGAAUUCAAGGCCAGCCUGGUCUACAUAGUGAGUUCCAGGCCAGCUGGGGCUACAGGGAGACCCUGUCUCAAAAAGACCAAAUAAAUAAAUAAAUGAACAGAAGUGUUUUUAAUUAACUGUGGUAUUUGUUUUGGUAAGACCGUUGAGAUUUUACCUUUAAAGUGACCAUCAUAACUUCUGGCAUACAUAAAGUUUUAAUAUUUUAAAACUCACAGUAUGGAUAGCCCAUUUUAAUAUUUAGCUGUAUCAUUUUUAUGGUGUAGAGAAUAUUCUCUGAAUUGCCAGAAUGAGUUAGGGCACUGGAAAAACACCAGGCACUUGCAAUUUAUUUUCAUUCACCCUGUAUUAAUGAC